CCCGCUCGAAGCGAUCCCUCGAGAAGCCCUAAAUCUGCGACCGCAAGUCAGCAAUGCGAGAAGUGAAACUGCGACUGUCUCUCUCUCUACCCUUGUCCGGUUUUUCCGUUCUUGGCAAAUUCGAAGAUGAGCCCACUUCCGGAUACAUGAUCUUAGGCCGACCCGUCAAGUCGAAGCCCGACGUAAUCUCGCUGCUUCGCUCCACCGAGCUGUUGAAUCGCUUGUGUCCGGGGGUUUCAAGAUUUUCCCCCGGGGGAGGGGGCACAAUCGCCUAUUCCGUCAUUGCAGACUUCCAGGCGAGAAGAAAUGUGCCCACAAUGAUCACCCCAACACCGAACCGCCUCCUUUGUCCUCUCUCGAAAGCAAUCUUUGUUAUGGAUUGAUGAAGGCAUGAGUUGAAGAAAUCCUUGUUGUCCCAACUGCUCAACAGUGCUUCCAUGGAUGGCAAAAGCUCAUCUGAGUUGAGCCUUCCCUGGUUCUGGAUUAUUGAGCAUCUGGCAAAAUUCGAGCAAGGUAUCAUUAAAGCGGCUCCAGAGUUACCUGCUCGCUUGGGAAAAAUUAUAGAGGAAGUUGUUUCUUUGAGAUGCUUGGAGGAUUUAUGUGGCCCUAGAAAUGGAAGCAUGAACAGUACUUGGUCCUCAUUGGGAUCAAAGGCGAAAAUCGAUACAUCAAAGAGCUGCAAAAAUGUCCUACAGUAAAUGUUCCAUAAUGGCUCUGCAUCUGAUCUUGAAGUGACUGCAAAUGAGUUGUUCAAAUGGGACCUUCACUCAUUUUUAACGCACAAGAGAACCUCUGUACCAAAAACUGCUCUAGAGGAGGUAAGCAGAUCUUUCAUCCAGUGCUGUCUA